CAAAUUAACUCUAGUUAACUCUUCCUAGCAAUCCACCAGGUGAGAGGUAUUGCUAUCAAUGAGGGAGGCCCCACCAGGAACUGCAAGUCAGAUAUGGAGACUGUUAUAAAUGCAGCUCCUUAGCACUCAGCUUGGAUGUGUAUAUGGGGCUACAGUUGGGGCUUGAGAGAAAACAAAGAUGUUGAUUUAAGAUAUGCAGCAAAAGGCUGGGGGAGACCUGCUGAAGGCUCCUGCUGUUUGGGGUCGGAGGUCACACAACGCAGCCUGCUGCCUUGGGAUCAAGCUCAAGGUUCUUGAGUGAUGGAAAAAGCAUUUGACGCUUUUCCUCGGGCAGACAAAUGGCUUCUAUCAGUCUGGAUGCCAUGGCCGCUUUGAACUAGUCAUCUGGGAAUCGCCAGCACUGCAGAGAAAUAUAAACCAAAGGAAAUGAGACCAGCACAGAAAACUCCAAGGAAGUUUGUGCAGUGAGCACUGAAAAGGGAAAAUCUUGAUGAGGUGGAUAUCAGAGAGAGAUCUUCUAUGAUCUUUUUGGACUAGCACUUGCUAUGGAGAUAAAUGCAGGCCUAAAGCAAUCAAGACCAAGCUCAUGGGACCCAGGGUAGUAGACAGUCACAGGACAGGAGCUUGUAGCAGUGGAGCCCAUUUCACUAAAUUAAAAAUUAAAAACUGUUAAAAAGCCCAAGUGUUAUAUCAAAAGCAUCUUUUGAUUCUGGUUUCAAAGCCAGGGACCCACUGCAUGAGCAAGAGGGAUUUAAAGAUGUUUUCCACUUUAAAAGGAAAGAAAGAAAGAAACAUGACUCGAGUCUUCAUGGCAUGAAGUCACCAUCUACUGUUAUUCACCCCCAUUAUCUCUUGUUGUAAUCUGUUCCCAGAGGAUCCCCUGGACAACCAGCUGCUUACGCUUGUUAUAUAAAAAAAAAAAGAGACUGAGCAAAAUGGUAGGGGAAAGGUCUGGCACUGAAUAAAAGCUGCUCCUUUACAGCUAAAUUAAAACAAUGUGGCACUGUGUGAGAUGAGGGUGGGGAGAGGAAGCCAUGCGUCUCUCCAGGCACCUGCCCGUACCCAGCAUUGCAAUAGAUACUGCCCUGUCAUAAUUCACAAAUACUGCCUGAAAGCUGAUAGCCUGACACUGAGAUUGCUUUACAGUCAAAGCCUGACAGGUUCAAGUCGGACAGAAGCCCUUCUACUGUAAUCGCUGAAAGAAAAUGGAUUUCCUGUCUCUUGGGUUAGAUGUGGUGCUGCUGCAUGGAUCCGAGAGUCUAGAGUCCAUGCACUAAUGCAGGCAUAUAAUAUUUCUCAUGGGAGGAGGGGAGGGGGA